AGUGAACGCUGGCGGCAGGCCUAAUACAUGCAAGUCGAACGGCAGCACAGCAGAGCUUGCUCUGUGGGUGGCGAGUGGCGGACGGGUGAGGAAUACGUGGGAAUCUGCCCAGUCGUGGGGAUAACGUAGGGAAACUUACGCUAAUACCGCAUGCGCCCUUCGGGGAAAGCCGGGGACCUUCGGGCCUGGCGCGAUUGGAUGAGCCCACGUCGGAUUAACUAGUUGGCGGGGUAAAGGCCCACCAAGGCGACGAUCCGUAGCUGGUCUGAGAGGAUGAUCAGCCACACUGGAACUGAGACACGGUCCAGACUCCUACGGGAGGCAGCAGUAGGGAAUAUUGGACAAUGGGCGCAAGCCUGAUCCAGCCAUGCCGCGUGAGUGAAGAAGGCCCUCGGGUUGUAAAGCUCUUUUGUCCCGGAAAGAAAAGACGCCGGGUUAAUACCCUGGUGUCCUGACGGUACCGGAAGAAUAAGACACCGG
rnacentral:rRNA from 1 species